rnacentral:rRNA from 1 species
UGCAGGUGGUUUGUUAAGUCAGAUGUGAAAGCCCGGGGCUCAACCUCGGAAUUGCAUUUGAAACUGGCAAACUAGAGUACUGUAGAGGGGGUAGAAUUUCAGGUGUAGCGGUGAAAUGCGUAGAGAUCUGAAGGAAUACCGGUGGCGAAGGCGGCCCCCCUGGACAGAUACUGACACUCAGAUGCGAAAGCGUGGGGAGCAAACAGGAUUAGAUACCCCUGGUAG